GACUUGUUCCUUGGGUGGCGAGCGGCGGACGGGUGAGUAAUGCCUGGGAAAUUGCCCUGAUGUGGGGGAUAACCAUUGGAAACGAUGGCUAAUACCGCAUGAUAGCUUCGGCUCAAAGAGGGGGACCUUCGGGCCUCUCGCGUCAGGAUAUGCCCAGGUGGGAUUAGCUAGUUGGUGAGGUAAUGGCUCACCAAGGCGACGAUCCCUAGCUGGUCUGAGAGGAUGAUCAGCCACACUGGAACUGAGACGCGGUCCAGACUCCUACGGGAGGCAGCAGUGGGGAAUAUUGCACAAUGGGCGCAAGCCUGAUGCAGCCAUGCCGCGUGUGUGAAGAAGGCCUUCGGGUUGUAAAGCACUUUCAGUAGGGAGGAAGGUGGUGUUGUUAAUAGCAGCAUCAUUUGACGUUACCUACUGAAUAUGCACCGGCUAACUCCGUGCCAGCAGCCGCGGUAAUACGGAGGGUGCGAGCGUUAAUCGGAAUUACUGGGCGUAAAGCGCAUGCAGGUGGUUUGUUAAGUCAGAUGUGAAAGCCCGGGGCUCAACCUCGGGAAUAGCAUUUGAAACUGGCAAGCUAGAGUACUGUAGAGGGGGGUAGAAUUUCAGGUGUAGCGGUGAAAUGCGUAGAGAUCUGAAGGAAUACCGGUGGCGAAAGGCGGCCCCCUGGACAGAUACUGACACUCAGAUGCGAAA
rnacentral:rRNA from 1 species